rnacentral:rRNA from 1 species
GAUGAACGCUAGCGGCAGGCUUAAUACAUGCAAGUCGAGGGGCAGCAUGAUUGUAGCAAUACAAUUGAUGGCGACCGGCAAACGGGUGCGGAACACGUACACAACCUUCCAACAAGUGGGGGAUAGCCCAGAGAAAUUUGGAUUAAUACCCCGUAACAUAGCGAUGUGGCAUCACAUUGCUAUUAUAGAUUUUUCGCUUGUUGAUGGGUGUGCGGCUGAUUAGAUAGUUGGCGGGGUAACGGCCCACCAAGUCUACGAUCAGUAGCUGAUGUGAGAGCAUGAUCAGCCACACGGGCACUGAGACACGGGCCCGACUCCUACGGGAGGCAGCAGUAAGAAAUAUUGGACAAUGGACGCAAGUCUGAUCCAGCCAUGCCGCGUGAAGGAUUAAGGUCCUCUGGAUUGUAAACUUCUUUUAUAAGGGACGAAAAAAGGCUUUUCUAAGUCGUCUGACGGUACCUUAUGAAUAAGCACCGGCUAACUCCGUGCCAGCCGCCGCCAUAAUAC